UGAACCUGAACCUGUCGCCAGGCCCACGCGUCCCACUGUACGAUUCAGAGGACGGAGGGGUAUUCAUCGAGUGAGAUAUGUCAGGGAGAGGCCUGAACCCGUCAGAGAUGCUGUACUGAGGGGCAAUCGCCGAGCCCAGAGAGUGAGAGAUCCGGAAAGCAAGGUGGAGAUCCUCCAAAAGCUGCUGACAAUUGUGCAGACAAUUCUUCAAAUGUAAAAGUUGUAAGGUGUUAGCUGUGACAUUUUGUUUUAUUUUAUUUUAUUUUAUUUUUAAUCACAUGCAAAAUGGAGCCUGACCAGUCUUGUAUAAUUCCCAUACAAUUAGUUAUUGCUGUAGACGAUGUAAACGGGGAUCCACUGCGUUUUGUAACACCAGCGCUUGCUGAAGCCAUCCAAGAGUUAAAUCAUAAUAAUCCCCACCCAGACAAUCGUCCUGAUCAACCUCAUUUAAAUAACGGCAG